rnacentral:rRNA from 1 species
AGAGUUAAAUAGUACGUGAAAUUGUUGAAAGGGAAACGAUUGAAGCCAGUCGUACUGGCGGGAGAUCAACUUCUCGAGUGCUUGUCGUGGAUGACGUUGAGCUUCACGGCCUUCGUUGCUCACGUUAUGGUGCUUUUGAGGUGUACUUUUCCGUAAGUAGGUCAACAUCAGUUUUUGAUCGCUAUAAAAUGACCGGCGGAAUGUAGCUUUGAUCUCGUAUUGAAGUGUUAUAGCCUCUGGUAGAUGUGGUGAUUGGGACUGAGGAUUGCAACGAAUACCCUUUGGGCUAUCCGUCUGACCUCUGAAAGUUGCUAGGGUGUUGAAAGCGUGCUUAUAACAUUCUAGUUGGCGGUCAAAAGGUUAGAACGCGAUUACAUUCGUUAAGGAUGUUGACGUAAUGGCUUUAAACGACC